UCCUGACUGACCGAUAGUGAACCAGUACCGUGAGGGAAAGGCGAAAAGAACCCCGGCGAGGGGAGUGAAAAAGAACCUGAAACCGUGUACGUACAAGCAGUGGGAGCACGCUUAGGCGUGUGACUGCGUACCUUUUGUAUAAUGGGUCAGCGACUUAUAUUCUGUAGCAAGGUUAACCGAAUAGGGGAGCCGAAGGGAAACCGAGUCUUAACUGGGCGUUAAGUUGCAGGGUAUAGACCCGAAACCCGGUGAUCUAGCCAUGGGCAGGUUGAAGGUUGGGUAACACUAACUGGAGGACCGAACCGACUAAUGUUGAAAAAUUAGCGGAUGACUUGUGGCUGGGGGUGAAAGGCCAAUCAAACCGGGAGAUAGCUGGUUCUCCCCGAAAGCUAUUUAGGUAGCGCCUCGUGAAUUCAUCUCCGGGGGUAGAGCACUGUUUCGGCAAGGGGGUCAUCCCGACUUACCAACCCGAUGCAAACUGCGAAUACCGGAGAAUGUUAUCACGGGAGACACACGGCGGGUGCUAACGUCCGUCGUGAAGAGGGAAACAACCCAGACCGCCAGCUAAGGUCCCAAAGUCAUGGUUAAGUGGGAAACGAUGUGGGAAGGCCCAGACAGCCAGGAUGUUGGCUUAGAAGCAGCCAUCAUUUAAAGAAAGCGUAAUAGCUCACUGGUCGAGUCGGCCUGCGCGGAAGAUGUAACGGGGCUAAACCAUGCACCGAAGCUGCGGCAGCGACGCUUAUGCGUUGUUGGGUAGGGGAGCGUUCUGUAAGCC
rnacentral:rRNA from 1 species